UUUACCAGCAUCUCAAAUUUCCUAGACCUCUUGAUUCUUCUCUUUCUUUCCUCAGAGGCCACAACUCUCACAGAAGACAGGAGCAGUACCAGAAGUGAAUCCAAAACAGCCACCACUGGGGUAGUUCCUGCCACAACUGUUGCCCCUGGCCGUUCCAAGACAGAGGCCACCACUUUCCUAAGAGUAAGUGGAACAAGCAGCAUUGGAAGAGCCACAGGUGAGUGCUAUUAGACUAAGACCUGUAAUUCCUAAUGACACCUUCAAU
rnacentral:lncRNA from 1 species